rnacentral:rRNA from 1 species
UACGUAGGGUGCGAGCGUUUAAUCGGAAUUACUGGGCGUAAAGCGUGCGCAGGCGGUUUGUUAAGACAGAUGUGAAAUCCCCGGGCUUAACCUGGGAACUGCAUUUGUGACUGGCAAGCUAGAGUAUGGCAGAGGGGGGUAGAAUUCCACGUGUAGCAGUGAAAUGCGUAGAGAUGUGGAGGAAUACCGAUGGCGAAGGCAGCCCCCUGGGCCAAUACUGACGCUCAUGCACGAAAGCGUGGGGAGCAAACGAGGA